CAAGUCGAGCGCGAAACGUAGCAAUACGUGGAGAGCGGCGAAAGGGAGAGUAAUACAUAGGUACGUACCCUUGGGUCUGGGAUAGCGGCGGGAAACUGCCGGUAAUACCAGAUAACGUCUCCGGACCAAAGGUGUGAUUCCACCUGAGGAGCGGCCUAUGUCCUAUUAGCUUGUUGGUGGGGUAACGGCCUACCAAGGCAAAGAUGGGUAUGGGGUGUGAGAGCAUGCCCCCACUCACUGGGACUGAGACACUGCCCAGACACCUACGGGUGGCUGCAGUCGAGAAUCUUCGGCAAUGGACGCAAGUCUGACCGAGCGACGCCGCGUGCGGGAUGAAGGCCUUCGGGUUGUAAACCGCUGUCGUAGGGGAGGAAAUUCUGGUGGGUUCUCCCAUCAGAUUGACUGAUCCUAGGAGGAAGGACCGGCUAAUCUCGUGCCAGCAGCCGCGGUAAUACGAGAGGUCCAAACGUUAUUCGGAAUCACUGGGCUUACAGAGUUCGUAGGCGGUCCGGAAAGUGGGGUGUGAAAGCCCUCGGCUCAACCGAGGAAUUGCGCUCCAAACUACCGGGCUAGAGGGAGAUAGAGGUGAGCGGAACUGAUGGUGGAGCGGUGAAAUGCGUUGAUAUCAUCAGGAACACCGGAGGCGAAGGCGGCUCACUGGGUCUUUUCUGACGCUGAGGAACGAAAGCUAGGGGAGCAAACGGGAUUAGAUACCCCGGUAGUCCUAGCCGUAAACGAUGAGCACUGGGCCGGAGCUCUGCACAGGGUUUCGGCCGUAGCGAAAGUGUUAAGUGCUCCGCCUGGGGAGUAUGGUC
rnacentral:rRNA from 1 species